ACAGAGUAUCUGCGAAUAUCGAUAGUAGGCUAAUCUGUAGCUCGAAAGUUGAGCGGGGAAAGGAUUGCCCAAUUUAUGCCAUGUAAGUGCCAGUGUGUAGGGUAGAUGGUAGCCGUUUACUGCGUUGAUGAUAUUGGUCUUACUUAAUCAAGCUUCAACCCAUGCUUGAGUGAUAGCUGUAAAGGUAGAUCAAUGGUGUUGUAUAGUAAGAAAAAUCCUCGGAGGGUUUGAUGGAGUUGAGACUUGGGGUAGCGGAGGUGUGUGUUACCAAUAAGUCCAUGGUUAGUCUUUGUUUAAGGGAAGAUUCCUUGUGACAAUACCAAUGUGUGUGUUUGGUGCCAUGCUGUAAAUGGUGGAGAUUGGAAGACCCCUCUGCAAAU
rnacentral:lncRNA from 1 species